GAUGAACGCUGGCGGCGUGCCUAAUACAUGCAAGUCGAGCGAACGGACGAGAAGCUUGCUUCUCUGAUGUUAGCGGCGGACGGGUGAGUAACACGUGGAUAACCUACCUAUAAGACUGGGAUAACUUCGGGAAACCGGAGCUAAUACCGGAUAAUAUUUUGAACCGCAUGGUUCAAAAGUGAAAGACGGUCUUGCUGUCACUUAUAGAUGGAUCCGCGCUGCAUUAGCUAGUUGGUAAGGUAACGGCUUACCAAGGCAACGAUGCAUAGCCGAACUGAGAGGGUGAUCGGCCACACUGGAACUGAGACACGGUCCAGACUCCUACGGGAGGCAGCAGUAGGGAAUCUUCCGCAAUGGGCGAAAGCCUGACGGAGCAACGCCGCGUGAGUGAUGAAGGUCUUCGGACCGUAAAACUCUGUUAUUAGGGAAGAACAUAUGUGUAAGUAACUGUGCACAUCUUGACGGUACCUAAUCAGAAAGCCACGGCUAACUACGUG
rnacentral:rRNA from 1 species